GUCCCUGCAGCGUAAUGGUAGCGCGUUGGACAUCUAAUCCAAAGGUCGGUUUCGAAUCCCACCUGGGAGG
rnacentral:tRNA from 1 species